rnacentral:rRNA from 1 species
AGAGUUUGAUCCUGGCUCAGGAUGAACGCUAGCGACAGGCUUAACACAUGCAAGUCGAGGGGCAGCGGGGGUAGCAAUACCCGCCGGCGACCGGCGCACGGGUGAGUAACGCGUAUGCAACUUGCCUAUCAGAGGGGGAUAACCCGGCGAAAGUCGGACUAAUACCGCAUGAAGCAGGGGCCCCGCAUGGGGAUAUUUGCUAAAGAUUCAUCGCUGAUAGAUAGGCAUGCGUUCCAUUAGGCAGUUGGCGGGGUAACGGCCCACCAAACCGACGAUGGAUAGGGGUUCUGAGAGGAAGGUCCCCCACAUUGGUACUGAGACACGGACCAAACUCCUACGGGAGGCAGCAGUGAGGAAUAUUGGUCAAUGGGCGUAAGCCUGAACCAGCCAAGUCGCGUGAGGGAUGAAGGUUCUAUGGAUCGUAAACCUCUUUUAUAAGGGAAUAAAGUGCGGGACGUGUCCCGUUUUGUAUGUACCUUAUGAAUAAGGAUCGGCUAACUCCGUGCCAGCAGCCGCGGUAAUACGGAGGAUCCGAGCGUUAUCCGGAUUUAUUGGGUUUAAAGGGUGCGUAGGCGGCCUUUUAAGUCAGCGGUGAAAGUCUGUGGCUCAACCAUAGAAUUGCCGUUGAAACUGGGGGGCUUGAGUAUGUUUGAGGCAGGCGGAAUGCGUGGUGUAGCGGUGAAAUGCUUAGAUAUCACGCAGAACCCCGAUUGCGAAGGCAGCCUGCCAAGCCAUGACUGACGCUGAUGCACGAAAGCGUGGGGAUCAAACAGGAUUAGAUACCCUGGUAGUCCACGCAGUAAACGAUGAUUACUAGGAGUUUGCGAUACAAUGUAAGCUCUACAGCGAAAGCGUUAAGUAAUCCACCUGGGGAGUACGCCGGCAACGGUGAAACUCAAAGGAAUUGACGGGGGCCC